ACUCCAUGAUGAAGGAAUUUUGUGAUCAAAUCUUUGAACCCCUCCCAAGCUUCAUAAAGUGAUUCUGAGUCAUGCUACAUAAAAGAAGUAAUAGUAUUCCUAAACUU